CAGUCGCCGCGGGAAUACGUAGGGUGCAAGCGUUAAUCGGAAUUACUGGGCGUAAAGCGUGCGUAGGCGGUUUGUUAAGUCUGUUGUGAAAUCCCCGGGCUCAACCUGGGAAUGGCAAUGGAUACUGGCUCGCUAGAGUGUGUCAGAGGAUGGUGGAAUUCCCGGUGUAGCGGUGAAAUGCGUAGAGAUCGGGAGGAACAUCAGUGGCGAAGGCGGCCAUCUGGGACAACACUGACGCUGAGGCACGAAAGCGUGGGGAGCAAACAGGAUUAGAUACCCGUGUAGUCCCUGUCUCUUAUAC
rnacentral:rRNA from 1 species